CCUACGGGAGGCAGCAGUGAGGAAUAUUGGUCAAUGGACGAGAGUCUGAACCAGCCAAGUAGCGUGAAGGAUGACUGCCCUAUGGGUUGUAAACUUCUUUUAUAUGGGAAUAAAAUGUUCCACGUGUGGGAUUUUGUAUGUACCAUAUGAAUAAGGAUCGGCUAACUCCGUGCCAGCAGCCGCGGUAAUACGGAGGAUGCGAGCGUUAUCCGGAUUUAUUGGGUUUAAAGGGUGCGCAGGCGGCGUGUCAAGUCAGCGGUAAAAUGUCGGGGCUCAACCCCGGCCGGCCGUUGAAACUGGCGUGC
rnacentral:rRNA from 1 species